rnacentral:lncRNA from 1 species
AAGCAAGACUUUGAUUUGUUCAGGUUUCCUUAAGGAGGGACACAGAAUCCUUGAAGCAUGAUUUGAAAAAGAUGGAUAAGAUAUUCUACCCAAAAUUCAACAUCACCUUUAAUCUUGCCCUCUCCUCCUCUAAUCCCUAGGUAAUGUUUUGUGCUUCUUUUGCAGAAAAGCAAUUUUGUUAAUCACUUUAGCACCAAUUCUUGCAUCCCUGGCAAUACUCAGAACUGCUUCCAUCCAAGUCUUUGAUGUGGGAAAGAAACACACACACACUCUUUCGCAUGUAAUCUGAAAACAAUUCACCUCUUGCCAAUGAAUGCACAGCACUCCACUUUAAUAGAGAGCAAGUUCUGUGGAGGUUUCUAAUCCUUUCUGCCAAAGAAGAGAAGAGAGAGAAUCACUCAGCUUCUAUUGCAGAUGUGAAGUUUAGCAUUUCUUUGCUCACUCUUUUACUGGGAAACUCUUCUAGCGGAAAGCCUGUCAUCUGUUGUGAAGGAGAGCUGGUGUUGACUUGAAGCAACAGAGUUGGUGGUCCAGUGGCCAUUGUCCUGUGUUAGGAGCAGGUGGUCUCGCUAAGCUCCAUGUGUUUGGAAAUUUCUCUGACCAGUGCUUGUUCUGCUAAAGGAAGAAGAGCUCAAGCUGCACUCCUUGUUUCCAGGAUCCCAUCCAGAAUACAUUACCUUUAGUCAUCAUGUCUCCUGUGGCUCUUCUUGGCUGUGACAGUUUCUCAGCUUUCCCAGUUUUAAUGAACUUGCCAUUUUCAUCAGAUUGUACCAAGACCUACUAUCAAUAUGACUUAUGACUAGUGGUGCUGACCUUGAUCACCUGGCUGAGGUAGUUCUUGUCAGGCUUCUCCACUGUCGAGUUGCUCUCCCCAUCCCCCUUUUCCAUAUUGUACUCUUUGAAAGAAAGUCACUAUAUGCAGCCCUUCCUUAAAAAUAUUAAAAUGAACUAGCUUAAUUAAGUUCUUUCUUACAUUUAGGUGUAAAUACCUCUGAGGUUUUUUUCUUUUAAAAAAUGAUUAUCUAUGUAAUACAUACUCACUGCACAAGACUUUAAAAAUGCAAGAAAAGUAUAAAGCAGCAGCAAAUAGAAC